UACAGAGGUCUCAAGCGUUGUUCGGAUUCAUUGGGCGUAAAGGGUGUGUAGGUGGCGCGCUAAGUCGGGUGUGAAAUUUCGGAGCUUAACUCCGAAACUGCAUUCGAUACUGGCGUGCUUGAGGACUGGAGAGGAGACUGGAAUUCGAUGGUGUAGCAGUGAAAUGCGUAGAGAUCAUGAGGAAGACCAGUGGCGAAGGCGGGUCUCUGGACAGUUCCUGACACUGAGACACGAAGGCCAGGGAGCAAACGGG
rnacentral:rRNA from 1 species